AAUUCCAGCGAGAGGCAGAGGGAGCGAGCGGGCGGCCCGAGCCGAGGGAGCCGAGUAGAACCGCGCUCCGGCGCUCGAGCAAGGGAGAUCCGGAGCCUCCGGGGGCUUCGCCUCCGGCCAGCGCCCCCACCCACCGCGCCGACCACCCGCCCGCGCCCCCGCAGACCUCGCCGAGUCGGCGGAACUUCGCCCACUGCGCCAGGCGGCCGCUUUGCACUGGAACUUACGGCACCGAGCGCGGACGCGGCGCUCCGGACGCGGCGCGGCUGUUCCGCCAGCGGGGGACCCUUCCCCUGU
rnacentral:other from 1 species